CGCUGGCGGCGUGCCUAAUACAUGCAAGUCGAACGAGUUCUGAUUAUUGAAAGGUGCUUGCAUCUUGAUUUAAUUUUGAACGAGUGGCGGACGGGUGAGUAACACGUGGGUAACCUGCCCAUAAGUGGGGGAUAACAUUUGGAAACAGAUGCUAAUACCGCAUAAAUCCAAGAACCGCAUGGUUCUUGGCUGAAAGAUGGCGUAAGCUAUCGCUUUUGGAUGGACCCGCGGCGUAUUAGCUAGUUGGUGAGGUAACGGCUCACCAAGGCAAUGAUACGUAGCCGAACUGAGAGGUUGAUCGGCCACAUUGGGACUGAGACACGGCCCAAACUCCUACGGGAGGCAGCAGUAGGGAAUCUUCCACAAUGGACGCAAGUCUGAUGGAGCAACGCCGCGUGAGUGAAGAAGGCUUUCGGGUCGUAAAACUCUGUUGUUGGAGAAGAAUGGUCGGCAGAGUAACUGUUGUCGGCGUGACGGUAUCCAACCAGAAAGCCACGGCUAACUACGUGCCAGCAGCCGCGGUAAUACGUAGGUGGCAAGCGUUAUCCGGAUUUAUUGGGCGUAAAGCGAGCGCAGGCGGUUUUUUAAGUCUGAUGUGAAAGCCCUCGGCUUAACCGAGGAAGUGCAUCGGAAACUGGGAAACUUGAGUGCAGAAGAGGACAGUGGAACUCCAUGUGUAGCGGUGAAAUGCGUAGAUAUAUGGAAGAACACCAGUGGCGAAGGCGGCUGUCUGGUCUGUAACUGACGCUGAGGCUCGAAAGCAUGGGUAGCGAACAGGAUUAGAUACCCUGGUAGUCCAUGCCGUAAACGAUGAAUGCUAGGUGUUGGAGGGUUUCCGCCCUUCAGUGCCGCAGCUAACGCAUUAAGCAUUCCGCCUGGGGAGUACGACCGCAAGGUUGAAACUCAAAGGAAUUGACGGGGGCCCGCACAAGCGGUGGAGCAUGUGGUUUAAUUCGAAGCAACGCGAAGAACCUUACCAGGUCUUGACAUCUUUUGAUCACCUGAGAGAUCAGGUUUCCCCUUCGGGGGCAAAAUGACAGGUGGUGCAUGGUUGUCGUCAGCUCGUGUCGUGAGAUGUUGGGUUAAGUCCCGCAACGAGCGCAACCCUUAUGACUAGUUGCCAGCAUUUAGUUGGGCACUCUAGUAAGACUGCCGGUGACAAACCGGAGGAAGGUGGGGAUGACGUCAAAUCAUCAUGCCCCUUAUGACCUGGGCUACACACGUGCUGCAAUGGAUGGUACAACGAGUUGCGAGACCGCGAGGUCAAGCUAAUCUCUUAAAGCCAUUCUCAGUUCGGACUGUAGGCUGCAACUCGCCUACACGAAGUCGGAAUCGCUAGUAAUCGCGGAUCAGCACGCCGCGGUGAAUACGUUCCCGGGCCUUGUACACACCGCCCGUCACACCAUGAGAGUUUGUAACACCCGAAGCCGGUGGCGUAACCCUUUUAGGGAGCGAGCCGUCUAAGGUGGGAC
rnacentral:rRNA from 1 species